rnacentral:tRNA from 1 species
GGGGUGGUAGUUCAGCGGGUUAGAACGCCGGCCUGUCACGUCGGAGGUCGCGCGUUCGAGUCCCGUCCAUCGGCCCCU